UACGUAGGGGGCAAGCGUUGUCCGGAUUCAUUGGGCGUAAAGAGCGUGUAGGCGGCCAGGUAGGUCGGUUGUGAAAACUGGAGGCUCAACCUUCAGACGUCGACCGAAACCAUCUGGCUAGAGUCCGGGAGAGGAGAGUGGAAUUCCUGGUGUAGCGGUGAAAUGCGCAGAUAUCAGGAAGAACACCCGUGGCGAAAGCGGCUCUCUGGAACGGUACUGACGCUGAGACGCGAAAGCGUGGGUAGCAAACAGG
rnacentral:rRNA from 1 species